ACGGAGGGUCCAAGCGUUAAUCGGAAUUACUGGGCGUAAAGCGCGCGUAGGCGGUUUGUUAAGUCGGAUGUGAAAGCCCAGGGCUCAACCUUGGAAUUGCAUUCGAAACUGGCUUACUAGAGUACGAUAGAGGGUGGUAGAAUUUCUUGUGUAGCAGUGAAAUGCGUAGAUAUGAGAAGGAAUACCAGUGGCGAAGGCGGCCACCUGGAUCGAUACUGACGCUGAGGUGCGAAAGCGUGGGGAGCAAACGGG
rnacentral:rRNA from 1 species